UUAAGACUAUCCAGGCAUUCCCCAGUAAGGGCGACUGAAGCGGGAAGAGCUCACCGUGUGAAUCUGUGCCCACCAUUUGUUGUGUGGCACCGAAUUGUGGUCUGUAGAAGCAUUGUCGGCCGCCGUCCCGGGCCAAGUCCCUUGGAAAAGGGCAGCAGAGAGGGUGAGACUCCCGUCUUUGCCUGGGAAGGGCGCGCCAUGGCAGGUGCCUUCGACGAGUCGAGUUGCUUGGGAUUGCAGCUCUAAGAGGGUGGUAAAUUCCAUCUAAAGCUAAAUAUUGGUGGGAGACCGAUAGCGAACAAGUACCGUGAGGGAAAGAUGCAAAGAACUUUGAAAAGAGAGUUAAAGAGUACCUGAAAUUGCUGAAAGGGAAGCGAAGGAAACCAGUGUCGUGUCGCGUCAUACUUCUCCUGCCGCUUGCGGUUGGGGCGCUGUGUCGCGACGUGGGCCAGCAUGGGUUUGUGUCUCCCGGCAUACGUCGGUUUGGGAGGUAGGUCCCUCUUUUGGGUCCGAUACCAUUCCGUCCUGUCGGGGGUGAGACCGAGGCAGUCACUUUACGUGCUCGUGAUGCUGGCAAAAUGGUUUUCUUUACCCCGUCUUGAAACACGGACCAAGGAGUCUAACAUAUGUGCGAGUACAGGGGUGGCAAACCCCCGUGCGCAAUGAAAGUAACAGUGGUUGGACCUGUUUGUUCAGGGCACAAUCCGCCGGCCACAAUCCCUCGGGAGAAAGGUCUGAGUGUGAGCAUACAUGUUGGGACCCGAAAGAUGUGUGAACUAUGCCUGAAUAGGGUGAAGCCAGGGAUACUACUG
rnacentral:rRNA from 1 species